rnacentral:rRNA from 1 species
UACGGAGGAGCUAGCGUUGUUCGGAAUUACUGGGCGUAAAGCGCGCGUAGGCGGCUUUGUAAGUCAGAGGUGAAAUCCCGGAGCUCAACUCCGGAACUGCCUUUGAAACUGCAUCGCUUGAAUCCGGGAGAGGUGAGUGGAAUUCCGAGUGUAGAGGUGAAAUUCGUAGAUAUUCGGAAGAACACCAGUGGCGAAGGCGGCUCACUGGACCGGCAUUGACGCUGAGGUGCGAAAGCGUGGGGAGCAAACAGG